rnacentral:misc_RNA from 1 species
GCCCACGUGGCGGAUACUGAAUGUCCCUGGCCGGCCUCCGCGGUUUGCCUGGGGGCACGGUACCUGUGUUGUUGGAGGGACGAGAGCAAUCGUGCUUGGGGGUCAAACCGGAGAGGAGUGGAUGUUGAGCGAGUUGUAUGAGUUGUCUUUGGCAAGCUCGGUAAUGUGAUAUACUAGGAUUUUACCAGAUGUCAAGGAGAUGGGCAUAUCAAAUAUCUUUAUACAUG